rnacentral:rRNA from 1 species
CCUAACGGGUGGCAGCAGUGGGGAAUAUUGGACAAUGGGGGCAACCCUGAUCCAGCCAUGCCGCGUGUGUGAAGAAGGCCCUCGGGUUGUAAAGCACUUUCAGUGAGGAAGAACGCCUGGUGGUUAAUACCCAUCAGGAAAGACAUCACUCACAGAAGAAGCACCGGCUAACUCCGUGCCAGCAGCCGCGGUAAUACGGAGGGUGCGAGCGUUAAUCGGAAUUACUGGGCGUAAAGCGCGCGUAGGUGGCUUGAUAAGCCGGUUGUGAAAGCCCCGGGCUCAACCUGGGAACGGCAUCCGGAACUGUCAAGCUAGAGUGCAGGAGAGGAAGGUAGAAUUCCCGGUGUAGCGGUGAAAUGCGUAGAGAUCGGGAGGAAUACCAGUGGCGAAGGCGGCCUUCUGGACUGACACUGACACUGAGGUGCGAAAGCGUGGGUAGCAAACAGGAUUAGAUACCCUAGUAGUC